rnacentral:rRNA from 1 species
CAGCAGCCGCGGUAAUACGAAGGGGGCUAGCGUUGCUCGGAAUUACUGGGCGUAAGGGAGCGUAGGCGGAUAGUUUAGUCAGAGGUGAAAGCCCAGGGCUCAACCUUGGAAUUGCCUUUGAUACUGGCUAUCUUGAGUACGGAAGAGGUAUGUGGAACUCCGAGUGUAGAGGUGAAAUUCGUAGAUAUUCGGAAGAACACCAGUGGCGAAGGCGACAUACUGGUCCGUUACUGACGCUGAGGCUCGAAAGCGUGGGGAGCAAACAGGAUUAGAUACCCUGGUAGUCCACGCUGUAAACGAUGAGUGCUAGUUGUCGGCAGGCAUGCCUGUCGGUGACGCAGCUAACGCAUUAAGCACUCCGCCUGGGGAGUACGGUCGCAAGAUUAAAACUCAAAGGAAUUGACGG